rnacentral:rRNA from 1 species
UACAGAGGGGGCAAGCGUUGUUCGGAAUUACUGGGCGUAAAGGGCGCGUAGGCGGCCUUCUAAGUCGAACGUGAAAUCCCCGGGCUCAACCCGGGAACUGCGUCCGAUACUGGAAGGCUUGAAUCCGGGAGAGGGAUGCGGAAUUCCAGGUGUAGCGGUGAAAUGCGUAGAUAUCUGGAGGAACACCGGUGGCGAAGGCGGCAUCCUGGACCGGCAUUGACGCUCAGGCACGAAAGCGUGGGGAGCAAACAGG